GGGGCUGACUUGGAUUUCGACAGAUUUCUUGUCGCACAGAUAGCAUGCCAAGCGCUGCUUGUAAAACAGCAACAAAAAUAACUGUAAACAACACAGAUUACGCUCCAGCUUACGCUAAAGCUGCGUGAGUUAAUCUCCUUUUGGAGCUGGACUGAUUAGAAUUUCUAGCGUUUUAAUCACUCCAUAACCUUAAGCUAGACGCUUUUAAAAGGUGGUUCGCCUUUUAAACUAAGAACAAGAACUCUUGAAACUAUCUCAAGGUUUUAGAAAGUUGGACCAGAGCUAGUUUUAAGGCUAAAAAACUAACCAAUUUUCUAAGCAUUGUAGAAGUUUGUGUUUAGGACAAGAUUUUUGGACUGGGGUUCGAUUCCCCACAGCUCCACCA
rnacentral:tmRNA from 1 species